CUGUUCAAGUUUUCUGCAGAAUCGGAUAGGAAUCCAUUGGUUAAAGAGGACAAGAGACUAUGGUUUGUUUGGGAAUUCAACAGUUGACAGAUUGCAGCUUCUGACUUGCAAAUGCCAGCAGGCAGAAAGUGUUGGUGGUUUAACUGCAGAAGAUGGAAAUGGAACCUGGUUUGUAGAUAGUUCAAGGGCAUUACACCUUAAUGGUGUGAUAAAUC
rnacentral:misc_RNA from 1 species